rnacentral:lncRNA from 1 species
CAGCAAAACACCACUUACACACGUCAAACAAUUUGGUAACCAAAACAAAAAGAACACACGCUGCAGUAUAACAACAAAAACAACCAUGAACCCAAAGGAAAACUCCUAUCAGUAGCUACAUAAGAGACACACACAAUACCCCCUUAAAUCUAACCCCCAAUUUCCUUUCAUUAUUCAAUUCCUUUCAAUACAGUCUAAUCUCUCCAAUCUUUCCUCUUUUUUCUGAAACUUUCUAACUAUAAAUAUGCAUAAUCUUACGAGGAAAUCUGCAAAUUCUGAAACUCCCAACGAUAUGCUUAACAAAUAUGAAUAUGGUUAUGUAUUUUUAAUUUCUUAUUUUUGGGUUUUAAUUUUUAAUUUUGUUCACAAAGAAGCAAGGAAGAGUACACUGUUCAGAAAUCGGAUGAAACAUGCUUAACAUAUUUCAUUGAAAUGGAAGGAUAUGUGUCAGAGAGAUAAUGAAGAUGAAUUAUUUUUGGGUUUUUAUGAAUGUAGAUUUUGAGAAUGAUGAAGAUGAAUGAGUGGGUGAUUUUAGUUUUUUUAUUCAUUAAGUUGAAUGAAUGAAUCUAGAUUUUUAGGGUUGUGGAUAUUAGUUUCCUUGGUUGAAGAUGAAGAGGGGGAGAAGAUGAAGUUGUUGUUAGAUUUUAUUUUAUUUUAUUUUUUAUUCAAAAUUUUAUUUUAUUUUAAUUAAUUAUCUGAAAAUAAAUAAUC